rnacentral:lncRNA from 1 species
GUUCGCAGUCCACCUGUUGGAUGUAACAGUUAGUUUCUUUCAGUUCUGGCUCUUUUUGGCUCUCUUCCGUGCAAGGAUCAUUGUUUAGUAUAUCAUCUUGAUUUGUAUAAAAAAUAUCUUUGCUCAAAUAAUCAAUGAUAUCUAAAUCAACAACAGGUUCUGUUUGAUCAGUUUGUUUGGGCAAACAAUUUUCUGGCUGUGUUUUUUCAGCAACUUGUACUUGCCAACUUUCAUCAUCAUCCCAUACAUCUUGAAGCUCUUCCUCUCUUCUUAACAUGGUUGCAUUCAAUGAUUUGUUCAAUUGAUCCUGUUGUUGUUGGAUACUCUACAAAGUCUUCAUAAUCUCAUCAAGAUUGGAACUAUGAAGUUCUGGUUGGGCUUGAUAUCCUUGAUAAUCCUGGUAGUUGUUAGCCUCUGCCUAACUGAAGUCUGGAUAGUCUCUCCAACCUGGAUUGUAUGUGUUAUAGUAUG